rnacentral:rRNA from 1 species
GAUGAACGCUAGCUACAGGCUUAACACAUGCAAGUCGAGGGGUAACGAGAGGAAAGCUUGCUUUCCUUGUCGACGACCGGCGCACGGGUGAGUAACGCGUAUCCAACCUGCCCCCAACUAAGGAAUAACCUUGCGAAAGUAAGACUAAUACCUUAUAAUUUCCUCAGAUGACAUCUGACGAGGAAUAAAGAUUUAUCGGUGGUGGAUGGGGAUGCGUCUGAUUAGCUUGUUGGCGGGGUAACGGCCCACCAAGGCAACGAUAAGUAGGGGUUCUGAGAGGAAGGUCCCCCACAUUGGAACUGAGACACGGUCCAAACUCCUACGGGAGGCAGCAGUGAGGAAUAUUGGUCAAUGGGCGAAAGCCUGAACCAGCCAAGUAGCGUGCAGGAUGACGGCCCUAUGGGUUGUAAACUGCUUUUAUACAGGAAUAAAGUUAGCCACGUGUGGUUAUUUGUAGGUACUGUAUGAAUAAGGACCGGCUAAUUCCGUGCCAGCCGCCGCAGUAA